rnacentral:rRNA from 1 species
UGGGGAAUAUUGCACAAUGGGCGCAAGCCUGAUGCAGCCAUGCCGCGUGUAUGAAGAAGGCCGUCGGGUUGUAAAGUACUUUCAGCGGGGAGGAAGGGAGUAAAGUUAAUACCUUUGCUCAUUGACGUUACCCGCAGAAGAAGCACCGGCUAACUCCGUGCCAGCAGCCGCGGUAAUACGGAGGGUGCAAGCGUUAAUCGGAAUUACUGGGCGUAAAGCGCACGCAGGCGGUUUGUUAAGUCAGAUGUGAAAUCCCCGGGCUCAACCUGGGAACUGCAUCUGAUACUGGCAAGCUUGAGUCUCGUAGAGGGGGGUAGAAUUCCAGGUGUAGCGGUGAAAUGCGUAGAGAUCUGGAGGAAUACCGGUGGCGAAGGCGGCCCCCUGGACGAAGACUGACGCUCAGGUGCGAAAGCGUGGGGAGCAAACAGG